UACGAGGGGUCCAAGCGUUGCUCGGAAUCAUUGGGCGUAAAGCGGGUGUAGGUGGCUUUGUAAGUCAGGAGUGAAAGCCCUGGGCUCAACCCAGGAAGUGCUUUUGAUACUGCGAAGCUUGAGUGUGGGAGAGGAUCGUGGAAUUCCAGGUGUAGUGGUGAAAUACGUAGAUAUCUGGAGGAACACCGGUGGCGAAGGCGACUACCUGGCCUGUUUCUUGACGCUGAGGCGCGAAAGCUAGGGGAGCAAACGGG
rnacentral:rRNA from 1 species